UGGGGAAUUUUGGACAAUGGGGGCAACCCUGAUCCAGCCAUGCCGCGUGAGUGAAGAAGGCCUUCGGGUUGUAAAGCUCUUUCGGCCGGGAAGAAAUCGCAUGGGUUAAUACCCUGUGUGGAUGACGGUACCGGAAUAAGAAGCACCGGCUAACUACGUGCCAGCAGCCGCGGUAAUACGUAGGGUGCGAGCGUUAAUCGGAAUUACUGGGCGUAAAGCGUGCGCAGGCGGUUUAGUAAGACAGGCGUGAAAUCCCCGGGCUCAACCUGGGAACUGCGCUUGUGACUGCUAAGCUAGAGUACGGCAGAGGGGGGUGGAAUUCCACAUGUAGCAGUGAAAUGCGUAGAGAUGUGGAGGAACACCGAUGGCGAAGGCAGCCCCCUGGGCCGAUACUGACGCUCAUGCACGAAAGCGUGGGUAGCAAACA
rnacentral:rRNA from 1 species